rnacentral:lncRNA from 1 species
GUGACCGCACGCGAUAACCUGUAUAUUGCAUAUUUCAGAGGGAAAGGAAGUCACGAGUUGACACAAGAGUUGUUUACUGGAAUCAGAAAACGGGACGACUAUUUAUUUUCACGAUAAAAAUUAUGCCACCAGGAAAACUGCAGAUUAGAAUUUUGCAACACUUCCAGAAAAAUAUCAGUGCUAAGUGUACUUGUUAUAGUUUCCCAGUCAAAUUAGAAUACGAAAAAGGCAGAGCAAGAAUAAAGAGGCUCGGCAGACAACAAAGAAAACAAACAAGGCAAAUCAAAGACCAAAACAACAUAAAUCACUUGUCCAAACUUCCACAACUUUUUUGAUUAUUCCACUCACAGAUGAUAUUAAGAAGCAUUAUUGGCUCAUGAUUUUUAUCGAUCUACUUCUAACAUGUAUUAUGAUGAUCCUUGUGUGUCUUAUUAUUUUGAGAUUGUUUAGACUUCUUUGUUUGUUGGAAGUACUUUAUGAACUGAAUUUUUUGUUUUCAUGUUUGAUUUCUGUUCAUGUUGGGUCAACUGCAUCCUAUGCUCAUCAGGAAUUAUUGAAUAAUGUGGUAAAUUGUGAAUCUAUCUUAGUCUGUUAGCUAUAUUAUUGUGAUUGACAGUUGAGAUUUUAACAUAAUUUUUUUUUUGUGACAUUUAAAUUCAGACAUUUACCACAGUAAGUGAAAUGGAUGUUAUUUUAUCAAGUUUCCUUGUUUGUGAAAAGAGAAAUCUUUUGAAUGAUUUUGUCUGAAAUUUUACACAUAGUAUAUGCAGAUAAAAACUUUUUAAAUAACUUGUUACAAAUCUGUCUAAAAUGGUAAGAUGCAACUAGCUUCCUAGCAUCUGGUUUUUGAUCUAAGUAUAUCAAUAUUUAUUGAAUCAUAAUUAUAAAUUGCAAAUAUAUAUACACUACAGUAGUCACAUAUUCUGUAAUGAUUGCUAUAAAAAUAACAUUCACAUGCAUAUCAUGUACUGUGAUUCUUCUGAUAUAAAGCAAAUUCUUCAUAUCAGUUCUGCAGCAUGCAACACAAUAGCUGGAUGAGCAAUAUAGUGAUAUCAUGGCACUUUCUUGUAUUUCAGGUUGUAAUGUUUGUAAUGUUUGACUUGGCUGAUAUUCAUUGUAUAAAAAACAGACAUUUUACAAAUACUUCCAGUUUAAACUAAGAUAUUCACUGUCACUUCUUAUUGAUAAUUAGCGGUUAAUACUAAAUUGCCUUGCACAAUUUUGGAAUAUUUACCUAAAGAACUUAGAGCAGUAGGCCCGAAGGACAUUAUUCAUUUUUAGGGCAAUUAUUCCGUAAUCGCUCCAGGCAAUCAAGUAUUAAUUUCUUUAAUUAUACCAAUGCUUUAAUUUAUCAAUAGACACCCGACAUUGACAAAAUUUUUCAUCCAGUCAAUUUUUUCAUAGAACCUGUUUGUAGAUAAGUGACAUCAUAUAAACCAUGUCGUCAGGAUAUAGAAAUAUUGUGUGUACAAAUACUGUAACAUGUUUUUGACAAUAUUGUUUAGUUUUGAUGUGUGUUUUAAAACUCACAAUAAGACAUUAAGUUAUAUGGAUGCUAAGCACACAGAUUAAGAUAUUCAUUUAAAAGAUUUAGCUAGGACUGAACUUACAGCUUAAAAGAAAAUUAUACUUCUUUAGAUGAUCAGAUUUAAAGCGGACAUCUAUAUGAUAGAGGGAUAAAAUUAUUAUUGAAACACGAUUUGCAUUAAUUGCUAUAUAAAGAUAUAGAUAACAGCCUAUAUAUGAGUCAUAGAUAAAAUACGAUUUUGAUACAUGUUACCCCUACGAUUGUAGCAUAAGAGAUUCUACAUCUGUUCUGUCACAUACAAAUUAUUCCAGCUCCAUUUCAAAAAGAUGAUUAUUAUAAAAAUGUCGUACUGACUUAUGUGCAGGGUUGUAAAAGACGUUUUGAUCUCUACGAGCGAAUUGGCUCAGUUAUGAUUCAGCAGUGACAUAAAAGUAUGAUGUCAUAAUGAUGCGACGUCAUACAAUGUUAAGCUAGUAACACUGGUUCAAAUAACAAAAAUUGAUGAUUCUGUUCAUAAUUAGUUUGCGAGGUGUUAGACUUAAGAAAUGAUAAAUACGUCCUUAUAAUAUUUUAUCAGUUUAACUUUAUAAAAUAUGGACAAGAGUUCAGAUGCGCAAUAAUUAAAUAACGAGUGCGUAACACGAGUUAUUUUAUAUUCACGUCCGGACGACUGCCAUAUUGAAUUAGCUGAUAAAAUUAUUGGAACAUAUUUAUUAUUUCUAUUCUAACCACGCAAAUUCUUUGCAUUUUACAGCUCUACAUUUUAGCUCUAUACGUCAUUCGGCUGGCCAUAUGCUAUUAUAAAAUCCUCCUCACAAAUGGAAAGCUUUGCAUAACGGAGUGUUGUGAUAUUCAGUAAAUUUUUAUAAAAAUAUUAAGUAGUUACCUGUGUGAAAAUGUUAUUUUAAAGAUUUUCUACGCAGUUUCUAAAAAUAGUACACGUUACCUAUGAUGACACUGCAACAUACACACCAGAACAUUGCGGCAUAUAAACGUGUAAACACUUUAGUCUGGAAGAUAGGAGCAUGAAUUAUUAUUUAUUUUAACUGUCAAAGUGACAUUUGUGAUGCCUACAAUGCAGAAUUUGUAAACAGGUACAUGAUCAGAUAUAUAUUCAAUGAUUUUAAGGUACUGUCUAGACAGGCUGAAACAUUUUCUUACAGUAAAAAUAUAAACAAAUAAAUGCAUCAGUUAGAAAUUGUUUGUUUCUGAAAAUUUGAUAUAGAUUUAUACUAAUUUUAAUUACUACUACUUAGCACUCUCACAGUCAGGUUGUAAUUGUAGGGUGGAAUUGAACAGCUAUAUUUUAUCUAUUAGUAAGAUUCAUGUAUAGGCGAUUUCGCUAUAUGUUUAUAUAGCAAUUGCUGCAGAUCAUGUUAGAAUACUAGUUUAUAAAAUUAUAGUUCUGAAAUUUCUGAUGAAAAA